AGAACGAACGCUGGCGGCAUGCCUAAUACAUGCAAGUCGAACGAACACUUCGGUGUUAGUGGCGCACGGGUGCGUAACGCGUGGGAAUCUGCCCUUGGGUUCGGAAUAACAGUUGGAAACGACUGCUAAUACCGGAUGAUAUCGAAAGAUCAAAGAUUUAUCGCCCAGGGAUGAGCCCGCGUAGGAUUAGCUAGUUGGUGAGGUAAAGGCUCACCAAGGCGACGAUCCUUAGCUGGUCUGAGGAGA
rnacentral:rRNA from 1 species